GAAUCUGCAAACACACAGCAGCGUGCUUCAGUUAGAAUGAAACACGUGAUUCUCAUUAAAAUAUGUUUUCUUCAAAAACUUACCCAACCGUUUGAAAGGAGUGAAGACCUUUAUUUCCUCUGAUCCAUUGUUCCGAUUUUGGAUGGAACCCAGACAGAAUGGUCAGGCCAGGGAGAAAAAACAAAACAAUGUUUUCUGGAGUAUUUUCCAGUGAUGAAUGUUUCCUCUUCCACGUGGGAUAAAUUCAGAAAAUGCUGAUGCUGCCUCAACUAUUCCCGUUUCCACUGUGUGCAGUUCCCUGCGCUUGUCCUUUAUUUGGAAUUUAGUUCCUCUGGAAUUCCAGAAAGACAACAGCACUCCACCCAAAUGCCAAUAACAUCUUGCUCCACAUCGUUAUCAUCCCACUUCUUCUCCGCUGCCUCAGAUAUGUCAUAUUUUUUGUCCAACAUCCAGGAUUAGAUGAGCAGUUUUCAUACAAUGAAGUAUUAUGAAAUUUGUGGGCGUUUCCCUUGUCUGCCGCCAACAGAUCAAUUCCAAGUCUAACAGUUCCAUUCCUUUCUCUAUAGCCACUGUCUGGUGCUGUGAUUUAAAGUUAUUUGACCCAAUCUGAAUUUCUAAUCCCACAUCCUCGCUGUACGAAGUUUAACUCAAGUACUUCGUACAAGCAGUUUUUACCCCACUGCUAUAAAAGCACUAAAUGUAGCCGCCAAGGAACGCAGGGGCGAGACAUACUAAGGGACUGUGGUACACUGUGAAAUCGACAGAAGGAUGGAGGGUUGGGUGUUUAUGCGUGCUAUUUUCGUGAUAUUUAUUUUAGUUGUUUAUCUUUUAAUAUUUUAUCUUGUAUGUAUCGUUAGCUUUUAGAAAUGUUUGAAUGGUGCACUGACUGGCUGACAUUUUUUAAUUUUGUUGUACAUGGUUCAUGUUACAAUGACAAUAAAGAAACUGUUCUAUUCUAUUCUGUACUGGUGAAAUCUAAAUCUUCAUCCAUAUCUUUAAUUUAAAGUUUUAAUUUUUGAAUGGGUUCUGGCUCGCCUGGCAACCUCCAUUAAGUUGUAUUCAUCCAAGAUCUCCUGGCUGUAUUCAACUGAUACCAUCCACUUUGUCAAUGUUGCCGAGUCAUAUUUGAGUUGCAGGUAGUUGCUGAGUUAGUUAAAUACUCAUUAGCAAUGCUGCUGAGUUAGGUAAAUACUCGUCUUUAUUAAAUCAUUCUGGAGACUUUUCCAUUUCCUAUUCUUGUAAUCUGUAACCAAAUUCGCUGAUUUUCACUGCACCAUUGAUAAUGAUAGCUUUAAGAUGUCUUCACUAAACCUUUCCAACUCUCUUUUCUCCUUUUAAAUAUUCCUUCAAACUUUAUAGGCAGUUUGCUUCAAUGCAAGUUAGCAUUAACUGGGGUAUAAAGGAGUUUUUUUAUAAUUAAAGUCAGAGUCAUAGAGCUAUGCAGCGUGGAGCCUGAUUCACGGUAAGGUGGAGACCUGAGGAACCUGCAGGUCCCACCAGCCAACAUUUGGCCCAUGUCCCUCGAAACCUUUCCUAUCUGUGUAUCUGUCCCAAUGUCUUUUACAUUUUGUAUUGCCUCAACUACCUUAUCUGUAUACUACCACCACCCCCACUUACCAUAUUUCAUCACUCACGAUGUGAAAAAGUUGCCCGUCAGGUGUGAAAAAGUUAUCCCUAUUGAUUCCCCUACUCUGGGUAAAAGAUUCUGUGUAUUUACCCUAUCUAUUCCCCCCCAUGACCUUAUACACCUCUAUAUCACCCCAUGACCUUAUGCACCUCUGCACUCCAAGGAAUAGUGUCCUCCCCUGCCUAUCCUCUCCCAUAAGCUCAGGAAACAUCCUAGUAAAUCUUUUCUGCAUUCUUAGAGCUUAACAAUAGCAGGAUGACCAAAACUGAAUAUUCCAAAUGUGGCUUCACCAACACCUUGUACAGUUCUAACAUAACAUCCCAACUUCUAUACUCAAUAUCCUGAUUAAUGAAGGCCAAAGCACUGCAAGCCUACUUGACCACAAUAUCUACUGACUGACCAUUGGUGAUGCAUCCUAGUUUGCAAGUGAUGUGUGGUCAGAUGCAAGCCUGGGCGAUCUCAUAUGGAGGACAGGCUGUUGUAGACAACGACAAACUGCCUUAGGGGCUUCAACUCGGAUUUUCGUGAGGUUUACCCCAGGAGCCUUUUCCAUGACUGGAUAUGGCCACAAGGCAGUGGAGGUUUUAAAUCAGAGUUUUCCCUCUCCUAGAUGGACUGCCUUCCCAGGCUGACAAGCCCCAUCUGCCUAUCUAGGGACUUAUAAUAGAUGUUUUCUGGUCCUUUGACACUUUUAUGCUUCGUUGGGAUAGCAGCCAGCAUUACUAAGGACCAUUCAUAUUCUGGCCAUUCUCUCUUCUCCCCUCUCUCAUGGGACAGAAGAUACAGAAGCUUGAACGCACGCACCACCAGAUUCAGUUAAAGCUUCUUCCCUGCAGUUAUCAGACUCUUGAAUGGACGCCUCAUAUAUCCUUCCCCGUAAACAGAUUCACCCAAUCGACCUGCAAGUUUCUGUUAAUGACUCCAAAAUUGGCCUUGCCCUCAAUAUCGGACAUUAACUAUUAUUAUUUUCAUAGCUAUCUUCAAUCUCCCGAACAUCCUCUAAUUCAUGCUGUCUAGCGGGAGGACUAUAAAACAGUCAAUGUAAAAAAGACAAAGUGCUGAAGUAACUUAGUAGGUCCAGCAGCAUCUCUGGAAAUAUAAAAGUUAAUAUAAACAUCUACCACAGUUUCUACCUAUCAAUGCAAUCAUUCCCUUCCUAUUUUUAAUUUCUACCCAUUUAGCCUCACUGGACAAUCCCAUGAGAAUAUCCUCUCGAAACCCUGUAAUUAUGUCCUCCCUGAUCAAAAAGGCAACCUUAUCUUACCUGCAUGCUUGUAGCAUAUUUAUCCAAUAAUACUGAGCUGCCAGACAGAAACAUAGCCAAGUUUCUGUUAUGGCUAUAAUAUCCCAGUCUCCCGAGUCAAUCAAAGGUGUGAGUUCAACCGCCUUGCCUGGUAAGCCUCCAGCAUUAAAAUGUAAUGUGUUUUAAAUACCAUCACUUUCCUCUCUCUUUAUUGUGCACCUGCCUACCUCACUGCCAAUGGUGCUCUCUUUGAUUACAGUAUUUGCCCACAACCUCUUGUCCAUCUCCCUUUUGCUCUGGGACACCUUUGUCCCAGAAGAGAUCCCACUGAUCCAAACAUUUUAAUCUCUCCCCACUGCACCAACACGUCAACCACACAUUCACCUGGUCUAUCCUUUCAUUCCAGUCCUCACCAGCACGUGGCACUGGGAGCAACCCAGAGAUUACCAUCCCAACGUUGUGCUUUUAAUUCUCUUUCCUAAUUCCUUAUAUUUACUCCACAGGACCUCGUCCCCUUUCCAACCUAUGUGAUUUGUAUUGAUGUGCACAAUGAUCUAUGGCUGCCCACUAUCUCCUUGAAAAUGUUCUCGAGCUGCCCCGAGACAUCCCACAGCAGGGAGACAACCUAUUUACAUCCAUAUAACCUCCCGUUUGUCUCCCUAACUAUAGCAUCACCCAUCACUAUCGUCCAUAUCUCACAUCAACCUACCCUGCUGUUCUUGUGCCAGACCUGGUGCCACAGACCUGAUUGCUGCUACUUUUGCGUGCAGAGUCAUCCCCCUACAA